CAGAGGUCUGUGCAGUAGCAGAAGCACGCGCCUCACUUCCGGCAGUGUUCUUUCCUGGCCUGGCAGUCAAAACAGUAGGGCGCUUCAGCAUUUUUGUUCUAUGUCCGGGAGCCACAGAAUCCUCCAGGUUUCACCUCCACUCUGAAAUCAAGAAAGAUCCCUACUGAAGCUGCUGCUUAAGGCCGGGGCUCCUUCUCGACUCUGUGAAGGACAAAGGACAACCUUGAGUGCCAUUCCUCAGGCAACAUUCACCUCCAUUUGAACCACUCUGUCAUUGUGCUGAAGCUCACCCAUAAGCUACCUGUUCCAUCUCCUCCAGUAUUGAGAUUAUAACUGUGUGUCACGCCCAUCUUUUUAAAGGAUAUCAAGCUUCCAAUUUGCUGAAAACUAACGACAGUUCUGAAGUGGAUCAUUAUCUGGCACAGAUGGUGCUGGGCCAUUAGGACAAGAGUGGUCGUCUAUCACGGUGUAGGUUGACGCUGUCUUUUAUAAUGCUAGCAAUAACAUUCCUGAAUGGUCACAUUAUACAUCUGGCCAGCCAGUAUGUAAAGAUAAUCAUGAACUCUUAGAUGUUUUAUAAUCAUGAUUAACCCACAUGACAUUGAGUUAGGGGUGAUUAAACAGUGAUGUUCCUGAGGACUAUUGGUAUAAAUAGGUGUGCAUGAAGUUGUGUUUUGUGUGUGUGUGUGUGUGUGUGUGUGUGUGUGUGUAA
ensembl:lncRNA